rnacentral:rRNA from 1 species
UCUCGCCCCGAUGACCGGGACAACCCGAGGAAACUCGGGCUAAUACCGGAUGUGGUGCCCAGACAUAAGUCUGGUCACUAAAGGUAGCUUCGGCUUCCGCAUUGGAGGGGCCCGCGGCCCAUUAGCUUGUUGGUGGGGUCAAGGCCUACCAAGGCAACGAUGGGUAGCUGGUCUGAGAGGACGAUCAGCCACACUGGGACUGAGACACGGCCCAGACUCCUACGGGAGGCAGCAGUGGGGAAUCUUGCGCAAUGCGCGAAAGCGUGACGCAGCAACACCGCGUGAGGGAAGACGGCCUUAGGGUUGUAAGCCUCUUUCAGAUGGGACGAAGGUUGUCCGGUUAAUAGCCGAGAUAAUUGACGGUACCGUCAGAAGAAGCUCCGGCUAACUACGUG